AUUCAGCUAUUUUAAAAGUAAGGAUUAGAUUUUGUCACUUUACCUUAAUAGAGGUAUCCCCCUGGAAGAUUCUGGUCUGUCUUAUUGCCUUAACCAUGAUUGUGCAUGGAAUCCUAUAGUGCAUCCCUCUGCUGACAUUGCUUUGCUGACUAUAUCAUGGGCACGGCAUUCUUUUAGGAUACAUUCCCUCUCAGUGUUGUACAGGGUGCAGCAUUUCAGCAAAGUCACUGUAGCCUUUUCUUUAGCCUCCUUCUGACUGAUGUUGAGGUUGUUUUAAUAUCACACGAACUAUAAUGUGAUGAAAAGUUCCUGGGUACUGACCAUGAGUCACUGUCUUCUUCUGAUGCUUCCAAGGUCUUCUAUGAGGGAAGCAGGGUAGUUUUAGUGAGGGGCCUAUGAUGAGUCAACAUGGAGCUUGCUGGAGGCUUUUCUUCUGUCUUGGGAAUUUGGUGAUGUGUUGUUUAGGUUAUCUGUGCAGAGUUUGUAACUUAUUUGUAGGUCCAGCAAGUAUCUGCAUAGCAAGAUUUCCUGAAGUGGAAAUAAGUACAGGCCAGGGCAGCACAGCCUGCUUGACUGUAAGAGACUUGUACAUAACAUAGCUCCCACUAAUUCUUCAUUCAACAGAAAACCUGCUGGAUAAAAGAAUAAGGAAGGAUUAGAGGAAACAAUGCAGGACACUCUGAAGCAGAGAGAACUGAUCACCCAGGAAAGUGACUUGGGAGAAACAGUGUAGAAGAAUUGUGACAUCUUUGAGAUCAGGUCUAAAAUUCUCCAGCGAAACUCGAACAUGGCAUAGACCAGAACAAGAUCUCCCUUGGAGAGCAGUGCCACAGGAGGAGUCUAAGUGUGCACAACAAAUACACCACUAUUACAUCGCAUCCUUAAUGUCCAUAGCAGUUGUGGGCUGCAUUUUCCUACUUUAGUUUGAUUUCUUUGGAUUGAAUAGGCCAUACUUUCAUCUCGGCUCUCCCCAGCAAGCGUGCACAUUUGGAAGGACUCAGAGAAGAGCUGAUGCACAUCAAUCAAGAGCUGCUGGGCAUCUAGGAAGAGUGUGCACAUGUACAUUUGUACUUGUCCUGAAGGGUCACCCAGAAGAGUUUCAUGGAAAUCAGUCCACAACAUUGGAAAAACUUUGAGUCAAAGACUGUCAUAUGUUUUAUACUCAGUAUUGGAUGGCUUUGUCCUUCAUACCCUCACUCCAACAAGGCCGACCUACUUACAUUCCCCUUGAAAAGAUUAUUACCAUCAGUAACUGCUUGUCUACUGUGUUUCCAAGGCAAGCCAUUGGCUAUAAGUCAAUUCUGCAAAGGAGCAUCAAAAGAAUGCUUAGGACAAUUCCUCUGUUUACAUUUUGGUUUGACUUUUGAUUACUUUGGUUAUUUGGUUUUCCUUAUAUUCAUUUGAAGUUUUGUUAUUUAUUCGUUGUUGUUUUGUUCAUUCAUUUGAUUUGCUAUUUUGAUAAGGAUACAAACUGUAUAUAUUGACUACCUGCAUCUGGAUACUAUUGAUGUAUUUUGGUGAAUAAAAGAGUGAUCUCAAACUCUCAA